UACGUAGGGUGCAAGCGUUAAUCGGAAUUACUGGGCGUAAAGCGUGCGCAGGCGGUUUUGUAAGUCUGUCGUGAAAGCCCCGGGCUCAACCUGGGAAUUGCGAUGGAGACUGCAAGGCUUGAAUCUGGCAGAGGGGGGUAGAAUUCCACGUGUAGCAGUGAAAUGCGUAGAGAUGUGGAGGAACACCGAUGGCGAAGGCAGCCCCCUGGGUCAAGAUUGACGCUCAUGCACGAAAGCGUGGGGAGCAAAC
rnacentral:rRNA from 2 species